CAUCGUCAUCUCCGACUCUCUUUCUCUCUCGCGAAAGGCGAUUAUCUCCGCUGACUUCUUUCUCUGGGUUGAAUCCGUUCGUCAGAGAGCUUGAACUCGUUAUCACAUCUCUCUGUCGUCGUAGUCACAGCCUCUCCGUCGUCAUCACAUCUCUCCGCUGUUGUUCCCGUUUCUCUCCGUCUCUCCUCUUUGCGAACCACCGAUUACAUCACUCUCCGCAGCUACCGAUAGGAGUUCUUCAAGCCUCUGAGUAACUUCUUAUCGCUGAUAAAUGACCAUUGGCUUAACAUUGAUCUUCUUCUACUCUUCCUACAUCUCGGUUCCCAAUUGAAGGAAUGGGCUUUACAGUUUCCAAAACGGAUUCUUGAAGAAGGAGUUGAGUGCAAGAUUGAUAAGAUUAACAACACUUGUAGACGUACGAUUCUGUAAACGGUGAAGGUGGUUCUCAAGGAUGAGUAUGAUGAAGUUUUGAAGGAUCCUGCCUUUGGUCCGAUUCUGGAAAUCGUAGACAACAAGCUCAUUUACUGAGGGAAGAUUAUUCACAGCUUCAUAUGCAAGCAGCUCAAGGUUUCUAAGCUUCAUGAGUUGUGGUUUCUGUUUGCAAAUAGACCUCUCAGGUUUUCUAUGCAAGAGUUUUAUGCUGUCACUGGAUAGAAGUUCAGAGAAUAACCGGAAAUAGACUUCAAUAACUGGAAGAGUGAUAAGGGGUUUUGGAGCACAGUGCUGAAUAAAAACAGAAAGGUCAACUUGUUGAUUAUAAGGGAUGAGCUACUUAAAGUCUGCAACCAGUGGUCGUAUGUGGACAGGGUGAGGCUAGUUUAUCUGUGUAUUAUACAUGGAUUCGUCAUUGCUAAAGAUUUGAGAGUGUUUAUUCCUCAAGAGUUCAUUCGUUUGGUGAUGGAUUUUGAGAAAAUGAGGAUGUAUCCUUGGGGUCUUCGUGCGUUUGAUGAGCUGAUUGCAUCAAUUUUCAAAGUAAGGGAAGAUUUGCAUCUGAAGAACAGUUACGUGUUGGAUGGUUUCUCAUAUGCGUUUCAGAUAUGGAUUAUAGAGGUAAUCCCGGACAUCGGGUCUAUGGUGGGUACAAAGAAGAAGAAAACCCUGACAAAAGUGAGAUGAAGAAAUAGGACAGGAAUUGGAAAAGUAUCAUACCAAGAUAUCACCAGCCUAGAAUCACACUUUGACAAGGGAAAGCUGUUCCCGUUUAUAUCAUCUACUGGAAGCUCAGCUGCGAUAGAUAAUCCUGAGUUCUUUAGGGAAGAUGAGAAGAAUGACGAAAGAGUCAGUCGCAUUGUUGCUCUCAUUGAUGCCAAACAAGACUGGAAGCAAUUCACUUGGGAAGUUGAGACUUUGCAUACAAAUAUGGACUUAUCUGAUCCAGAAGAGGAUGUUGAGGAAGCGGCUGUUGGAGAGGAACCGGCUGUUAUUGUAAAAAGGGGCAAGCUUAAGCUAAUUGAUCCUUGUGCCGAGUCUCAGAAAAAACAGCUGUUCUGUGAUCGAGCAGCUGAACAUAAUUGUGGUGUCUCAGAUGAAAUGAAGACCUUCAUUGAGGGUUUGUUCAAGGCUUCUUUCACCUCAUUUACGGAGCUGGUGCAGAAGGAUUAUGCAUUGUAAAAACAUUGAUAUGAAUUUUUAUAUACAAAAAGGGUAGUGAAUGUCCAAAAAUGACAAAAGUUGAUUUUGUUCUAAGGGGACAAUAUUAUAGUUUAGUUAUUCCU